UACGUAGGGGGCAAGCGUUGUCCGGAAUCAUUGGGCGUAAAGAGCGUGUAGGCGGCCCGGUAAGUCCGCCGUGAAAGUCCAGGGCUCAACCCUGGAAUGCCGGUGGAAACUGCCGGGCUGGAGUCCGGAAGAGGCGAGUGGAAUUCCUGGUGUAGCGGUGAAAUGCGCAGAUAUCAGGAGGAACACCAAUGGCGAAGGCGGGUCUCUGGACAGUUCCUGACGCUGAGGCACGAAGGUCAGGGGAGCAAACGGG
rnacentral:rRNA from 1 species